GAAAAUGAUGGUUUAACUCCUUCCCUUAUUA
rnacentral:tRNA from 6 species